rnacentral:misc_RNA from 1 species
AACCAUUCUCACCUGCGGCUAGACCUGCGGAGGGAUCAUUACAAGUGACCCCGGUCUAACCACCGGGAUGUUCAUAACCCUUUGUUGUCCGACUCUGUUGCCUCCGGGGCGACCCUGCCUUCGGGCGGGGGCUCCGGGUGGACACUUCAAACUCUUGCGUAACUUUGCAGUCUGAGUAAACUUAAUUAAUAAAUUAAAACUUUUAACAACGGAUCU